GACGAACGCUGGCGGCGUGCCUAACACAUGCAAGUCGAACGGAGUAGAUAGCAAUAUCUACUUAGUGGCGAACGGGUGAGUAACGCGUAGACAACCUGCCUCUAAAAUGGGGACAACACCGCGGAAGUGGUGCUAAUACCGAAUGUGAUAUCUUAGUUGCAUGAUUGAGAUAAGAAAGGUGGCCUCUAUAUAUAAGCUACCGUUUAGAGAUGGGGCUGCGUCUGAUUAGCUAGUUGGCGAGGUAAUGGCUCACCAAGGCGACGAUCAGUAGCCGGUCUGAGAGGAUGAACGGCCACACUGGGACUGAGACACGGCCCAGACUCCUACGGGAGGCAGCAGUGGGGAAUCUUCCGCAAUGGACGAAAGUCUGACGGAGCAACGCCGCGUGAGUGAAGAAGGUCUUCGGAUUGUAAAGCUCUGUCGUUUGGGACGUACGUGGAUAGGGUGAAUAACCCUAUCUAAUGACGGUACCAAAGGAGGAAGCCACGGCUAACUACGUGCCAGCAGCCGCGGUAAAAC
rnacentral:rRNA from 1 species